ACGAACGCUGGCGGCGUGCCUAAUACAUGCAAGUCGAACGCUUCUUUUUCCAUCGGAGCUUGCUCCACCGGAAAAAGAGGAGUGGCGAACGGGUGAGUAACACGUGGGUAACCUGCCCAUCAGAAGGGGAUAACACUUGGAAACAGGUGCUAAUACCGUAUAACAAUCGAAACCGCAUGGUUUUGAUUUGAAAGGCGCUUUCGGGUGUCGCUGAUGGAUGGACCCGCGGUGCAUUAGCUAGUUGGUGAGGUAACGGCUCACCAAGGCGACGAUGCAUAGCCGACCUGAGAGGGUGAUCGGCCACAUUGGGACUGAGACACGGCCCAAACUCCUACGGGAGGCAGCAGUAGGGAAUCUUCGGCAAUGGACGAAAGUCUGACCGAGCAACGCCGCGUGAGUGAAGAAGGUUUUCGGAUCGUAAAACUCUGUUGUUAGAGAAGAACAAGGAUGAGAGUAACUGUUCAUCCCUUGACGGUAUCUAACCAGAAAGCCACGGCUAACUACGUGCCAGCAGCCGCGGUAAUACGUAGGUGGCAAGCGUUGUCCGGAUUUAUUGGGCGUAAAGCGAGCGCAGGCGGUUUCUUAAGUCUGAUGUGAAAGCCCCCGGCUCAACCGGGGAGGGUCAUUGGAAACUGGGAGACUUGAGUGCAGAAGAGGAGAGUGGAAUUCCAUGUGUAGCGGUGAAAUGCGUAGAUAUAUGGAGGAACACCAGUGGCGAAGGCGGCUCUCUGGUCUGUAACUGACGCUGAGGCUCGAAAGCGUGGGGAGCAAACAGGAUUAGAUACCCUGGUAGUCCACGCCGUAAACGAUGAGUGCUAAGUGUUGGAGGGUUUCCGCCCUUCAGUGCUGCAGCUAACGCAUUAAGCACUCCGCCUGGGGAGUACGACCGCAAGGUUGAAACUCAAAGGAAUUGACGGGGGCCCGCACAAGCGGUGGAGCAUGUGGUUUAAUUCGAAGCAACGCGAAGAACCUUACCAGGUCUUGACAUCCUUUGACCACUCUAGAGAUAGAGCUUCCCCUUCUGGGGCAAAGUGACAGGUGGUGCAUGGUUGUCGUCAGCUCGUGUCGUGAGAUGUUGGGUUAAGUCCCGCAACGAGCGCAACCCUUAUUGUUAGUUGCCAUCAUUUAGUUGGGCACUCUAGCAAGACUGCCGGUGACAAACCGGAGGAAGGUGGGGAUGACGUCAAAUCAUCAUGCCCCUUAUGACCUGGGCUACACACGUGCUACAAUGGGAAGUACAACGAGUCGCAAAGUCGCGAGGCUAAGCUAAUCUCUUAAAGCUUCUCUCAGUUCGGAUUGUAGGCUGCAACUCGCCUACAUGAAGCCGGAAUCGCUAGUAAUCGCGGAUCAGCACGCCGCGGUGAAUACGUUCCCGGGCCUUGUACACACCGCCCGUCACACCACGAGAGUUUGUAACACCCGAAGUCGGUGAGGUAACCUUUUGGAGCCAGCCGCCUAAGGUGGGAUAGAUGAUUGGGGUG
rnacentral:rRNA from 1 species